UACGGAGGAUCCAAGCGUUAUCCGGAAUCAUUGGGUUUAAAGGGUCCGUAGGCGGUUUGGUAAGUCAGUGGUGAAAGCCCAUCGCUCAACGGUGAAACGGCCAUUGAUACUGCCAGACUUGAAUUAUUAGGAAGUAACUAGAAUAUGUAGUGUAGCGGUGAAAUGCUUAGAGAUUACAUGGAAUACCAAUUGCGAAGGCAGGUUACUACUAAUGGAUUGACGCUGAUGGACGAAAGCGUGGGUAGCGAACAGG
rnacentral:rRNA from 1 species